rnacentral:tRNA from 1 species
CGUUGAGAAGCUAAACAGGACAUAGCGUUAGCCUUUUAAGCUAAAGAUUGGUGAUUCCGACCACCCCCAAUGA